rnacentral:rRNA from 1 species
AUUGAACGCUGGCGGCAGGCCUAACACAUGCAAGUCGAGCGGAUGAAGGGAGCUUGCUCCUGGAUUCAGCGGCGGACGGGUGAGUAAUGCCUAGGAAUCUGCCUGGUAGUGGGGGAUAACGUCCGGAAACGGGCGCUAAUACCGCAUACGUCCUGAGGGAAAAAGUGGGGGAUCUUCGGACCUCACGCUAUCAGAUGAGCCUAGGUCGGAUUAGCUAGUUGGUGGGGUAAAGGCCUACCAAGUCGACGAUCCGUAACUGGUCUGAGAGGAUGAUCAGUCACACUGGAACUGAGACACGGUCCAGACUCCUACGGGAGGCAGCAGUGGGGAAUAUUGGACAAUGGGCGAAAGCCUGAUCCAGCCAUGCCGCGUGUGUGAAGAAGGUCUUCGGAUUGUAAAGCACUUUAAGUUGGGAGGAAGGGCAGUAAGUUAAUACCUUGCUGUUUUGACGUUACCAACAGAAUAAGCACCGGCUAACUUCGUG